rnacentral:rRNA from 1 species
UACGAAGGGGGCUAGCGUUGUUCGGAAUCACUGGGCGUAAAGCGCACGUAGGCGGAUCUUUAAGUCAGGGGUGAAAUCCCGGGGCUCAACCUCGGAACUGCCUUUGAUACUGGGGAUCUCGAGUCCGGGAGAGGUGAGUGGAACUGCGAGUGUAGAGGUGAAAUUCGUAGAUAUUCGCAAGAACACCAGUGGCGAAGGCGGCUCACUGGCCCGGUACUGACGCUGAGGAGCGAAAGCGUGGGGAGCAAACAGG